CGCUUUUUUCGCCCAGGCGGAGCUCGACCGCCCACGCAAAUAAUGGUGGAUUUUAUUCACAACAAUAAAAUCAAAUAUGGCGUAGAAGCAAUUUGCACCAUAUUGCCCA
rfam:Acinetobacter larvae strain BRTC-1 chromosome, complete genome.